GAUCAUGGCUCAGGAUGAACGCUAGCUACAGGCUUAACACAUGCAAGUCGAGGGGAAACGAUAUUGGAAGCUUGCUUCCGAUAGGCGUCGACCGGCGCACGGGUGAGUAACGCGUAUCCAACCUGCCCACCACUUGGGGAUAACCUUGCGAAAGUAAGACUAAUACCCAAUGACAUCCCACGAAGGCAUCCGAAUGGGAUUAAAGAUUUAUCGGUGAUGGAUGGGGAUGCGUCUGAUUAG
rnacentral:rRNA from 1 species